CCACGUUUCAAUCAUGCAUAGUAGAGCCCAAAUCAAAAUCAUUCUUGCACAAAAGCAAUAAUUCUUAAUCAAAAACACUUCAUUACUUAAUACCCAUCACUUCAAAAUUUCUCAACUUACAACUUACACAAAUUACCACAUUCUUUUUAAGAUAGUAUAUAUAUACAAAGCACUUACACCUUAAAUACCCAUUUCUUUGUUAAAACUCUAAACAUAUAAAAGUUAUCAAAUAAUCAUACUUAUGUCAUAUAUAUAAUAAUUAUGUAAGCUUUACUACACUAAGGUGGUACCAAGGGGAGGAAUUUCCUUCUCCAAUCACGCAUGCUAACAUAACUCUUAUGCACAAAAGUAUCCAUUUCAACCCUCAUCAUGCAUUAUCUAAAUCAAUUCCACACCUUUCCAAUUUAUAUCCAUUUAAUGAUAUCCACAACAACCCUUCUCACACUUAUGUUUUAUUUUUGUCAAAUAAAUUCUAAAACAUACAAAUAAUCAAGAGCACUUCAUCACACAUGAUUUAUACAUACUUUUAUCCAAAUAACCCUUUGAUUUAGGACAUAGAAAAUUUCCAGCAUUAAUAUCACCUUGACCUUUUCUGGGUUUUUAGGACAUAACUUGAGUUAUAGAUUUCCAAAUUAAGUGAAGUUUGAUUCAUUAGAAAGCUAAGACAAAAUUCUACAAAUGUUAUCAAGGGACAACAGCCCAGAUCAAUCUGUAAUAUGGUGAAAAAAGGCUAGGAACACAGACCAAUAGUCCAGACCUGAUUCAGCAGCACUAAUUCCAAUGUUUAUCCAAUUCCUACUUAUCCAGACACUCAAAUCAAACCAAUCCAAAACCAGAGAAGUCUCAAGACACAGGGAAACAACUCUCAUGAAGAACUCAGAAUAUAAUCUUAUCAUUAUAGUGGUCAAAAUGGGCACUCAAUUCAGUGAUGCAUGUAGCCCGUCAUAACAGAGUCAGUUUGGGUUUUUCAGCCAUAAGUUGAACUAUAUAUAUCCAAAUUGGACACAAGAGGAUGGGUUGGAAAGCUAAGAAGUAGACCUAUAACUUUCAUGAAGGACUCAGACACAAAGGAAAACUCGAAAGGAUCAAAAAAAUAGUCCUUAAUCUCACUCAAUAACAUUUUUCCCAAUUUCAGCUUACUUAAAUCAUAUACAAGGUAGGGAUUUCUACCACAUAUUUCAUACUCAUCAUACAUCAUCUUAAGAGCAUAAACCAACAAAGAGAACAAGAAAUCUUAAGGCCUUUUUCAUCAAUAGGUUCUGCCACUUUUGGAAGAUGAAGAAGAAAAUGUUUUCCUCAUCAAUUCAACAUAUAAGCAUGCUUAGAAAUCUCCCAAGAACACAUUUAUACCACCAAAAUUCAAUAAUCAAAUCAUUUCAUAUAAAAUUCCCAAUUUUCACAAAUAGCAUAAACUUCACAAAAUCAAAAAUUUAAACAAGGUAGGAGGAUUUAUGAACACUUACUUUAAAACAAGCCUUAGCAAGCUUAGAUUAAAGCAUUCUAAGCUCCAACUUUGCCUUUACUCCUUGGUAGAGGUUUCCUAAGCCUUUGGCUUUCCAAGUUUCUUGAAAAUAAUCACCACAAAUCACUUCUCAAGCUUUAAACUCUAGGAUUGAUUCCUUAAAUCAAGUUAAAUGGGUUGAAUUUGAU
rnacentral:lncRNA from 1 species